rnacentral:rRNA from 1 species
CCUACGGGAGGCAGCAGUGGGGAAUUUUGGACAAUGGGCGCAAGCCUGAUCCAGCCAUGCCGCGUGCAGGAUGAAGGCCUUCGGGUUGUAAACUGCUUUUGUACGGAACGAAAAGGUUUGGCCUAAUAAGCUGAGCUCAUGACGGUACCGUAAGAAUAAGCACCGGCUAACUACGUGCCAGCAGCCGCGGUAAUACGUAGGGUGCGAGCGUUAAUCGGAAUUACUGGGCGUAAAGCGUGCGCAGGCGGUUAUGUAAGACAGAUGUGAAAUCCCCGGGCUCAACCUGGGAACUGCAUUAGUGACUGCAUAGCUGGAGUACGGCAGAGGGGGAUGGAAUUCCGCGUGUAGCAGUGAAAUGCGUAGAUAUGCGGAGGAACACCGAUGGCGAAGGCAAUCCCCUGGGCCUGUACUGACGCUCAUGCACGAAAGCGUGGGGAGCAAACAGGAUUAGAUGCCCUGGUAGUCCACGCCCUAAACGAUGUCAACUGGUUGUUGGGUCUUCACUGACUCAGUAACGAAGCUAACGCGUGAAGUUGACCGCCUGGGGAGUACGGCCGCAAGGUUGAAACUCAAAGGAUUGACGGNGNGNGAGNGCGAGGCGACGACGAGGGAGAG